AGAGUUUGAUCCUGGCUCAGAACGAACGCUGGCGGCAUGCCUUAUACAUGCAAGUCGAACGAGAAAGUCACUUCGGUGGCGAGUAGAGUGGCGCACGGGUGAGUAACGCGUAGAUGAUCUACCCUUCAGUCUGGGACAACUCUUGGAAACGGGAGCUAAUACCGGAUAAAACCUUCGGGUUGAAAGCUUUAGUGCUGGAGGACGAGUCUGCGUACCAUUAGCUUGUUGGUGGGGUAAGAGCCUACCAAGGCGACGAUGGUUAGCGGGUCUGAGAGGACGAUCCGCCACACUGGAACUGAGACACGGUCCAGACUCCUACGGGAGGCAGCAGUGAGGAAUUUUGCGCAAUGGGGGAAACCCUGACGCAGCAACGCCGCGUGAGCGAUGAAGGCCUUUGGGUCGUAAAGCUCUGUCGGAUGGGAAGAAAAAAAUGACGGUACCUCACAAGAAAGCACCGGCUAACUUCGUGCCAGCAGCCGCGGUAAUACGAGGGGUGCUAGCGUUGUCCGGAAUCACUGGGCGUAAAGGGUACGUAGGCGUCCUGAUAAGCAUUGAUUGAAAUCCUUCGGCUUAACCGGAGAACUGGUCAGUGAACUGUCAGGAUAGAGUUUGGUAGAGGAAAGCGGAAUUCCCGGUGUAGCGGUGAAAUGCGUAGAUAUCGGGAGGAACAUCGACGGCGAAGGCAGCUUUCUGGGCCAAUACUGACGCUGAGGUACGAAAGCGUGGGUAGCGAACAGGAUUAGAUACCCUGGUAGUCCACGCUGUAAACGAUGUCAACUAGCCGUUGGAGGGGUAUCCCCUUUAGUGGCGUAGCUAACGCGCUAAGUUGACCGCCUGGGGAGUACGGUCGCAAGAUUAAAACUCAAAUGAAUUGACGGGGGCCCGCA
rnacentral:rRNA from 1 species